UGUACAGAGAUCUUUAUCAAGAAGUUGGAAGUACAAGCACUGGGCAGGGUCCGAAAAUCAGAGCUUAUAAAGUAGAUUUGAGAAGGACCUGCCUAGAGGUCAAAGUGAGACCCAUGAGCAUAGAAUAUAUAAAUAAAGGGCAGAGGAGAGAGGAAGCACAGGUAAACAUUGAAGAAAAGAACCUUUGUGGAAUAUGCAAUUUUAGAUGGUGGGAUAAAGAAAAGAAAUCCCGUGGAGGGAAGGGAUCUAUUGGAAAGGUCGGCAUAAGAUGGAGACAGUGUUAAUAUUGGGAAAUCAAAGGAGGGGGGAAAAACUCAACAAUAGGAAGAUGGUUCAUAGCCCCAAAUACCAAAGAACAAAUAGAUGAAAGAUUAGGAAAAAAAAUCAUUGAGUUUGGUAAUUAGAUGUUCACUAGUGUUCAAAAGCUGAGUUAUUUAAGGAACAGAAAUAUUGUGUUAAUGACUUCGAGAAGACUGCAGGAUAGGGAAAAUGGGUGUUUUGAUCUACUGCGGACUAUUCGAGUUUGAGCUUUUAGCAGUGAAGCAGCUCUUGCUGUUGAUAACAGUCACGGCAUAGCUGUGGGUGAGGUGGGGAAACUGAAUGAUGAAAAGACCAGAUCAUGAUAUUCCAGAGAUACAGGCAAAGAAGAACCACCUGUCUGGAACUGAGCUUAAUGAAUGAUUGGGUACGCCUGUUCAGGUAGGACCAGAAUAUCAGGGUGCCCUGCCGCAGGUCAGAACCAUGGCUCCUUCAGCCUCUUUCUCCUUUGCCUUUCCUUUUAUUUUCCCCUUAAGUUGGGGAUGGAACCCAGGACCUCAUGCAUGUUGUGCAUGUGCUAUACCACUGAGCUACAUUGCCAGCUCCCCUACAAUCCUCCCCCAACUAACUCUUUAAGGAGACAAUCAGUUCCAUGUAUUUCCACGCUCUCCAUCCAUAUUGGCAUUUGGAGUUGCGGACAGUUCUCAUUUAUGGGAUCCACCCAUGCUGAUGGUCUUCAAAUUAUGAUCAUGACCUAGCCUAACCCUUGUCUUUGCCAAAUGGAAGGGCCACCUUGUUUGAUUGUUUUCACAUGGCAGUUCUUAGCUUCCAUCCCAACCAUUACUUUUUUGAUGCACCUUUAAAGUUAUGUCAUUUUCUUGACAUGUUAUAACCAAAGCCAGGUGAAUAGUAGACAUAAAUAGGGGAGGACGUUAUUUUCUGUUUUUUCGUAGGCCACCCAUUACCAUGUUGGGAAGCAAAAGAAAUGAUGUGUUACAUAAGCCAAAGAUGUCUUCAUUUUCCUUUUCGUCCUUUUUGGGUUGUGAAGUUAUCCAUUGAUAUCUAUUAACAGAAGGCCCAGGACCUCGUCCCUGAGUCUAUGUGAUGUCCUCCAUUUCUGUUCACACUGACUCUCCAGAGGUUUUGCUUUUUUUUUUUUUUUGCCUGUUUCAAAUAUAUUAAAUGCAACUUUUAAUCUGAAUAAUCACUCUUUAAACAAACAAACAAAAAAACCCCACCUUCUAUCUUUUCUUCCUUCCCACCAGUUAUCACAUAUUGAAGAUAGUUGAAGCUGACUAGAAUUCUGCAGCCUUUUGGAAAGCAUUGGAUCUUUGUAAACCAAGCCGCAGCCCUUAGCACUAAGACUUGUCUCCUCAGGCUGCUCAGCUACAGGACUCAACAGCCCAGGAAGGCACAGUGACUGGCAUUUAGAGUUUCCUUCAAAGUGUUGACCCAUAAAAUCCAUACCAGAAAUAACUUCUAUUGUUACUAUGGAGGUGGGGGACAAAAACCUACUCAAAGGAUCUUGUGCAAACCAAGUGUGCACAUGCACACACAAACACACACACACACACAUACCAUACAACACACACCUGCUGAGUGAUUCCUGUAUGGGUAUAUUUACUCUGAAAUCAACUCUAAAAAUCAUGGAAUUGGGGAAGUGUAACCUCAGAGGCUGUGAUCUGAGUCACAGGCUGAUCAAUAUUUUUUUUUUCUAAUCUGGGAUGAAAAUUGCACUUCGAAUACAUUAAUAGAGGCCCCGAAGGUGACCAGGUACCAUACUGUUCUGUUGAUGAUGCAUGAUGGGUAGAAACAGAGAGUGACAUGGUAAAUGUAUGGGGUGCUAGCUCUGGUCAAAUGGCCUGCCCAAGUUUUAUACUUCUUUGCAAGGUUUUAUACUUCUUUGCAAGGCACAAGUAUAUGCAUCUAACUGACAGUGUGUUUCCCCAGUGGCAUAAAAUUAAGCUAAAGGAGGCCAGGCUCCAUGUGGUCUUCAGCAUGUCUGGUACCUGAUGCAACCGGAUGCAGAGCCCUUUCCUUUCUAAACCCCCUAAGUCUGCAAGAGCUAACACUAUGAUUUUUUUUUACUUUAUUUUUAAUUUUUAUACAGUACUAGGGAUGGAACCCAGGGCCUCGUGCAUGCCAGGCAAGCACUCUACCGCUGAACUACACACCCCCGGCCCCUGUGCACCUGUUUUCUUGUACUAGAGAAAGCAGAGCCAGAAGAGCAGGAGGAGCCAAGGGAAGGCCAAGUUCCAGGAUUCCAGUUCUGAUAUUUGUUUCUAUGUUUGUUCAACUCUUUUCAUCAGUGUGAAGAAUAAGUUCCUCACAAGAUAAUUAUGUGGUUUGGAAAUGAGCAAUCUUGAUACAAACAUGAAACAUAUAUUCUAUUUUACUACUUAGGAUUGUGAGUGUUAAAAUAUACAGAUUGGGUAGACUGCUAAAUAUAGGCUGGAAAGGAACUUGUUUCUUUAAAAGGAAAAGAAAGGGGAAGGGGAAUAAAAAAGGAAGAAAAACUUGGUCAGACACGGCUAAGGAUCAACAAAAUAAGAGAGAUAAAAUUUCACUCACCAAUUCAGACCCAGAGUGAGGAGACCCGCUGGGAUCCCAGAAUAUUUGAAAAGAAAUCAUGAUUACGUAAUUAUUUAGUUUAAAUUAUUGUGUUAAAUAAUUUUCUGAUUAUUUUCAACACAGAGGGUGACAAGUGGCAUUAACUAACCAAGAAUUAUCAAGUAGAUCUUUGAGGCCUGCUACAAUAAGAGGCAAAAAGAAUUUCAAAGAACAUCAGUACCUGGAAGAUGGGUCCUUCCCAACUCCGCAGGCUCCUCAUCAGGCAUCUUGGAUUGUUUAUAACAGCCCCAAAGUGAGAACAACGCCAAUAUCCAUCAAGUGAAGAAUGAAUAGAAAAAGUGUGGUGUAUCUGUACAAUGGAAUAUUAUUCCACUGUUUAAGAGCAUGAAGUUCAAAUGCUUGCGGUAACCAAUGAACUUUGGCAAUAUUGUGCUAAGUGAAGGAAAGUAGUCACAGCAGACCAGAAAUUGCAUGAAUUUAUUUCUAUAAAAUAUCCAGCAAAGGCAAAUGUAUAAAAAGAAAAAUCAAUCCAUGGCUGAAGGCAGGAGGUAAAGGAGAUCUGGGAGGAGGGUAGGGAAGGAUGGCUAACAGGAAUGAGGUUCUUUGGGGAGUGAUAAAAUGUUCUGUUAUUAACAGCAGGACAGUUGCAAAACUCUGUAAAUAUACUAAAAACUAAUGAGUUACACUCUUUAAAUGGGUGAAUUGUAUGCCAUAUGAAUUAUAUCUUGAUAAAGCUGUUUAAAAGAUCUAUCAGGUACACUAUUUAACUGACACAUCAAGUCUGCAGAGUCAAAUUCAGCAUCCACUGCAAGAGGGAUGUGAUGAAGGAUGAUGUUGGUGAUGGUAGACAGAGUGACAGUGGAACUGGGGACACUAUUCGGUGACACUAUGGGCAUGGCUGUUAGAAUCCUACCUCACUCCAUCCAAUCUUCAUCACGUGAGGUUCAUGAUGGGUACAUGGGGAGAAGGUGCCACAUUGUCAGCUGAAACCCCAUUUUGGAAUACUUAUGUAGCUGAGCUGUGACGGACACAUGCUGAGCCCAGUCGUUCUCCAACCGUGGAUCCCAGAACAGCAAGAACUACUUAGAAAUGCAAAUUUUCAGGUUCCCCAAGAUUUAAGAAAUCUGAAACUCUGGAUGCAUCCAGUGAUGAAUGUUUUAAUAUUCCCUUCAGAGGAUUCUGAUGCAAGGUCAAGUUCAAGAGCCAUUGCUUUAGCCUAAAGCCUAAGGGACCUAAGGUCAGACUCAAGUCUCAAGAUCUCACAUCCACCUGGCCAUGUCCCUGGUACAGGAAGACAAAAGCAAGGCUAUUUCAGUGUCAGUGUAGCCAUCACCUUGGAAGAUCCAUCUCAGAUCCUUCUGACCUUCACUUUGGCUUUGGCCAUUACCAUUUUGGCUGUUGGCUGCACAUGGGUAUACCUGGAGAGUUAGCUGAACCUGUUAUCUCUUGCUUUCUGCCCUGGGGCUUUUUCACUCUGCUGUGGGAGCCUUCUCCACCAAUCCAUCACACACCUAAAUCUCAGGUGAGGGGAUUGAACCACCUCCAACCAAAAGGGUGUGGGACAGAGGGGACUGAAUGUUCUCCAGUUCAAGAAUCACUGACCCUUGUGAACAUGGGCUACUAAAUGCCCCAGGAUUGGACCAAUCAUUGGACCAAUCAUAUCAGCUUUCCUCCUGUAAGAGAGGACCCAGGAAACUGAUGGGGACAUUUAUCCUAGGUGGGGAAGGGGAGCUCAGAGUCCCCAGCUCCCUCCUCCACAUGACAAUGAUGGGAUGACGCAUGAUUUUCAGAUAUUACCCUAAAAAUUAAUUGUUUCAGAACUAAAAUCACAUACAAGAUAUAGGGGGGAGUGGUAGGAGGGAGGUAGAGAGAGAGAAAGGGAGGGAGAGAAGAGGAAUGAAUUGGAACGAAGGUCAGGAGUUCCAGCUGUGUCCCCCCAGGUUUUCCAGUUCCUAAAGUCAAUUCAUAUGAUUUCUGGCUUGUGCUGUAAUACAGUUCUAGGUUUGAGCAGUUCAGUCUCCUGGUCUGUAAAAUGAGAGGUUUGGGACACAAGCUCUGGAAGUCUUCCCCAGCCCCCAGCUAUCCCUAAUUCUGUACCUGAAGAGGUGUGUAAUUAACACAGCUUGAAAAAUCCACAGGAAGUGGGUAAGGGUAUUCUCAGAGUCUACCUCUGACGACCAGUCAACAAACUGAACUUUGUCAGAUGAGGGCCUGUGUUGUCCGUGGUCAGUGAUAUCCACCUGUGCACAGAAUCACCUUCACAAGAACGUGUGUAAUGAAUGUGUCUUUUCCCAGGCGGAAAAAAUAAUAAUAAUAAUAAUAAAAUAACAAGCACAGCUGUCUUACA